CGCCAGACCCUACGGGAGGCAGCAGUGGGGAAUAUUGCACAAUGGGGGAAACCCUGAUGCAGCGACGCCGCGUGAGUGAAGAAGUAUUUCGGUAUGUAAAGCUCUAUCAGCAGGGAAGAAAAUGACGGUACCUGAUUAAGAAGCCCCGGCUAACUACGUGCCGGCAGCCGCGGUAAUACGUAGGGGGCAAGCGUUAUCCGGAUUUACUGGGUGUAAAGGGAGCGUAGACGGUGAUGCAAGUCAGAAGUGAAAGCCCGGGGCUCAACUCCGGGACUGCUUUUGAAACUGUGUGACUGGAGUGCAGGAGAGGUAAGCGGAAUUCCUGGUGUAGCGGUGAAAUGCGUAGAUAUCAGGAGGAACACCAGUGGCGAAGGCGGCCUGCUGGACAGAAACUGACGUUGAGGCUCGAAAGCGUGGGGAGCAAACAGGAUUAGAUACCCGUGUAU
rnacentral:rRNA from 1 species